rnacentral:rRNA from 1 species
UACGAAGGAGCUAGCGUUGUUCGGAAUCACUGGGCGUAAGCGCGCGUAGGCGGCUUUGUAAGUUAGAGGUGAAAGCCCGGAGCUCAACUCCGGGAAUUGCCUUUAAGACUGCAUCGCUAGAAUCAUGGAGAAGGUUAGUGGAAUUCCGAGUGUAGAGGUGAAAUUCGUAGAUAUUCGGAAGAACACCAGUGGCGAAGGCGACUAAACUGGACAUGGUAUU